rnacentral:rRNA from 1 species
UACGUAGGGACCAAGCGUUGUUCGGAUUUACUGGGCGUAAAGGGCGCGUAGGCGGCAAUUCAAGUCAUCUGUGAAAUCUCCGGGCUUAACCCGGAACGGUCAGAUGAUACUGCUUUGCUAGAGUGCGGAAGGGGCAAUCGGAAUUCUUGGUGUAGCGGUGAAAUGCGUAGAUAUCAAGUGGAACACCAGUGGCGAAGGCGAGUCUCUGGACAUUUCCUGACGCUGAGGCACGAAAGCCAGGGGAGCAAACGGG